AUCGAACGCUGGCGGCAGGCCUAACACAUGCAAGUCGAGCGGGUGCAGGGAGCUUGCUCCUGGAUUGAGCGGUGGACGGGUGAGUACUGCCUAGGAAUCUGCCUGGUCGUGGGGGAUAACGUCCGGAAACGGGAGCUAAUAUUGCAUACGUCCUGAGGGAGCAAGUGGGGGAUCUUGGGACCUCAUGGUUUCAGAUGAGCCUAGGUCGGAUUAGCUAGUUGGGGGGGUAAAGGCUUUCAAAGGCGACGAUCCGUAACUGGUCUGAGAGGAUGAUCAGUCACGCUGGAACGAGAGCACGAUCCAGACUCCUGCGAGAGGGAGCAGUGGGGGAUAUUGGACGAAGGGCGAAGGGCUGAUCCAGCCAUGCCGCGUGUGUGAAGAAGGUCUUCGGAUUGUGAAGCUCUUGAAGGUGGUAGGAAGGUAAGUAAGUUUAUACCUUGCUGUUUUGACGUGACCAGCAGAAAAAGCACCGGCUAACUUCGUG
rnacentral:rRNA from 1 species